rnacentral:rRNA from 1 species
UACGGCUCAGUAACACGUAGCUAACCUAACUUUAGGCCAGGGAUACCCUCGGGAAACUGAGGUUAAAACCUGAUAAGAGAUAUUUUCUGGAAAGGGAUUUCUCUGAAACUCGUGCCUAAAGAUGGGGCUGCGGUGGAUUAGGUUGUUGUUGGUGUAAAAGACUAACAAGCCGAUGAUCCAUAAGGGCUCUUAGCGGAGAAGCCCUGAGAAGGAAUCUUAGACAUUAUUCCUAGCCCUACGGGGUGCAGCAGUCGAGGAUCUUUUGCAAUGCACGCAAGUGUGACAAAGCGAACCAGAGUGUUUCUCAUAUAGAGAAACUUUUGUUAACUGUAAAUAAGUUAACGAAUAAGGACUGGGCAAGACCGGUGCCAGCCGCCGCGGUAAUACCGGCGGUCCAAGUCGUAGCCACAAUUAUUGGGUCUAAAACAUCCGUAGCUUGUUUCAUAAGUCUCUUGUGAAAUUCUGUCUCUUAAGGGCAGAGCGUGCAAGAGAUACUGUGUUACUAGAGACCGGAGGAUGUGAAGAGUACGGUCGAGGUAAUGGUAAAAUAUGUUGAUCUUGAUUGGACUAACAACAGCGAAGGCACUUCACAAAUACGGUUCUGACAGUGAGGGAUGAAGGCUAGGGGCGCAAAACGGAUUAGAUACCCGUGUAGUCCUAGCAGUAAACACUGCGCACUAAACACCGGGAUCUCCUCGGGAGAUUUCGGUGCUGUAGAGAAGUCGAAGAGUGCGCUACCUGGGAAGUAUAGUCGCAAGGCCGAAACUUAAAGGAAUUGGCGGGGGAGCAC